rnacentral:rRNA from 1 species
AGAGUUUGAUCAUGGCUCAGGACGAACGCUGGCGGCGUGCUUAACACAUGCAAGUCGAACGAUGAACCACUUCGGUGGGGAUUAGUGGCGAACGGGUGAGUAACACGUGGGCAAUCUGCCCUUCACUCUGGGACAAGCCCUGGAAACGGGGUCUAAUACCGGAUACCACUCCUGCUCGCAUGGGCGGGGGUUGAAAGCUCCGGCGGUGAAGGAUGAGCCCGCGGCCUAUCAGCUUGUUGGUGAGGUAACGGCUCACCAAGGCGACGACGGGUAGCCGGCCUGAGAGGGCGACCGGCCACACUGGGACUGAGACACGGCCCAGACUCCUACGGGAGGCAGCAGUGGGGAAUAUUGCACAAUGGGCGCAAGCCUGAUGCAGCGACGCCGCGUGAGGGAUGACGGCCUUCGGGUUGUAAACCUCUUUCAGCAGGGAAGAAGCGCAAGUGACGGUACCUGCAGAAGAAGCGCCGGCUAACUACGUGCCAGCCGCCGCGGUAAUUC